GUAAUAGCUUAUUUCAGAUUUAUGGGAAAUUGUAUACAUUUGAUAGCUGAUUUUAUAUUAUUAGUAUGCUUUGGCCAUUUCAUUUAUUUCAGAGUUGUUUCUUGGGGUUUCCUCCUGUCUGUAAUAGCUUGUUUACUCUGUCCUGGUUAUUUUGGAAUCUGGUCCUUGACUAGGAUGAGAAGAAUGAAAUUUGUUGCCAGCACUGUAGCUUCUUUAUCCUCCGUCCCCAUUCCUUUUUUUUUCCAAGCUUAUAUCUUUAGUUUUAAAGCUUACAUAGUCUGUUGGAGUCAUAACAUUCAAUAUUAAAAAUUAUGCUGAAUUUUUUGUUUGUACAAACAUUCUGAAAUACAAAGACAUGCUUUUUUUUCUUAAAGGAUUCUAAUUUUGCCCAGAGUAUUUUAAAAGUCCAUAUUGUGAUAAACACUCUAUUGUUUCUUUGGGUAUAGUAGCUUGUAACAAAGAUUAAUUUCUAAUGGGAAUGUAAAAACAUGAUCUUUUGAAACUAAGAAAGAAAAUAGUCUAUCAAAACUGAGUAUCAAGAACUAAUUAUAUUUGAAGUGACUGUAACCACCCCUUGUGUCUUUGACGUGGACAUCAUCGUUUUCUUCAUCAAAGGCCUGAUUCGCUUUCAGUGAUUUCUCACGCAAGUCAUAUCAUGCACAUUCACGGCGUGCAAGAAACCACUGAGUUUUUGGAUGCAGCAUAAUUUUUAAAGUUGUCAUGAAAAUAAAUUUUAUAGUGAAUGUGCUAUGAAAGAAAAAUAUUGCUGUUCUAAAUAUUGUUGAAAUGUAAAUAAUAAAAAAGAGGUACAAGAGCUAUAGUAAGUUUUUAUGUCUUUCUAUUUAAAGUGUCAUUUUCUUUUCACAGGGAUUGUAAGGUGGAUUUGUCUUUUAGGAAAAGUUAUAUGAAAGAUCUGAAUGGCUUCUCAGUGCAGAUCUUUGACUAAUAGGAGCCCUCAUUUUUCCAGAUUCCAACUUUUUUGUAUUUGUGUUCUUAUUUUUUAAAAACAAACAAAUAGACCAUGACUGUUAGUAAGAAACAAACACUGAACUGAAAAUUUCCAUGCAGUUUGAUGGAAUAAAUAUUAUAGUCUGUGGGCUGUUAAAAAACAUUUUUUUGCCAAAGGAAGGCAUUGUAAGGGCUAUUUUUAUUUGAACCUUACUGUGUUUAGAUUAAACA